rnacentral:rRNA from 1 species
CGUGCCUCAGACAUGCAAGUCGAACGCGAAAGCCCCUUCGGGGGCAAGUAGAGUGGCGCACGGGUGAGUAACACGUAGGUAAUCUACCUUCGGAUGGGGAAUAACAAGCGGAAACGGUUGCUAAUAACGCAUAAUGCAGCGGCACCUAAUGGUGACAGUUGUUAAAGCGGGGGAUCGAAAGACCUCGCGUCUGAAGAGGAGCCUGCGGCGGAUUAGCUAGUUGGUAGGGUAAUGGCCUACCAAGGCAACGAUCCGUAGCCGGCCUGAGAGGGCGGUCGGCCACACUGACACUGACAUACGGGUCAGACUCCUACGGGAGGCAGCAGUCGGGAAUUUUGGGCAAUGGGCGAAAGCCUGACCCAGCAACGCCGCGUGAAGGACGAAAUCCUUCGGGAUGUAAACUUCGCAAGAACGGGAAGAAUAAGUCUGCGCGAAUAUCGCAGAUGAUGACGGUACCGUUUGUAAGCUCCGGCUAACUCCGUGCCAGCAGCCGCGGUAAUACGGGGGGAGCAAGCGUUGUUCGGAUUUACUGGGCGUAAAGGGCGCGUAGGCGGCCACUGCAAGUCAAUUGUGAAAUCUCCGGGCUUAACUCGGAAAGGUCAACUGAUACUGCAGGGCUAGAGUGCAGAAGGGGCAACUGGAAUUCUCGGUGUAGCGGUGAAAUGCGUAGAUAUCGAGAGGAACACCUGAGGCGAAGGCGGGCUACUGGGCCGAUACUGACGCUGAGGCGCGAAAGCCAGGGGAGCGAACGGGAUUAGAUACCCCGGUAGUCCUGGCCCUAAACGAUGGACACUUGGUGUGUCGGGUUUUACAGUCCCGGCGUGCCGGAGCUAACGCGUUAAGUGUCCCGCCUGGGGAGUACGGUCGCAAGGUUGAAACUCAAAGGAAUUGACGGGGGCCCGCACAAGCGGUGGAACAUGUGGUUUAAUUCGAAGCAACGCGAAGAACCUUACCAGGGCUUGACAUCUGUGGAACCUUCCGGAAACGGAGGGGUGCUCGCAAGAGAACCACAAGACAGGUGGUGCAUGGCUGUCGUCAGCUCGUGUCGUGAGAUGUUGGGUUAAGUCCCGCAACGAGCGCAACCCCCGUUGUUAGUUGCCAUCAAGUAAAGUUGGGCACUCUAGCGAGACUGCCGGUGACAAACCGGAGGAAGGUGGGGACGACGUCAAGUCAUCAUGCCCUUUAUGCCCUGGGCUACACACGUGUUACAAUGGCCGGGACAAUGUGAUGCAAUCUCGCGAGAGUGAGCGAAUCACCAAACCCGGUCUCAGUUCGGAUCGCAGGCUGCAACUCGCCUGCGUGAAGUCGGAAUCGCUAGUAAACGCCGAUCAGCACGCGGCGUUGAUACGUUCCCGGACCUUGCACUCACCG